UACGUAGGGUGCAAGCGUUGUCCGGAAUUAUUGGGCGUAAAGAGCUCGUAGGCGGUCUGUCGCGUCUGCUGUGAAAACUCGGGGCUUAACCCCGGGCCUGCAGCCGAUACGGGCAGACUAGAGUUCGGCAGGGGAGACUGGAAUUCCUGGUGUAGCGGUGAAAUGCGCAGAUAUCAGGAGGAACACCGGUGGCGAAGGCGGGUCUCUGGGCCGAUACUGACGCUGAGGAGCGAAAGCGUGGGGAGCGAACAGG
rnacentral:rRNA from 1 species